ACUCAAAUGAAUAGACGGGGACCCGCACAAGCGGUGGAUGAUGUGGAUUAAUUCGAUGCAACGCGAAAAACCUUACCUACGUUUGACAUGCCAGGAAUCCAGAAGAGAUUUUGGAGUGCUCGAAAGAGAACCUGGACACAGGUGCUGCAUGGCUGUCGUCAGCUCGUGUCGUGAGAUGUUGGGUUAAGUCCCGCAACGAGCGCAACCCUUAUCAUUAGUUGCUACGCAAGGGCACUCUAAUGAGACUGCCGGUGACAAACCGGAGGAAGGUGGGGAUGACGUCAAGUCCUCAUGGCCCUUAUACGUAGGGCUUCACACGUCAUACAAUGGUCGGUACAGAGGGUCGCCAACCCGCGAGGGGGAGCCAAUCCCAGAAAACCGAUCGUAGUCCGGAUUGCACUCUGCAACUCGAGUGCAUGAAGUCGGAAUCGCUAGUAAUCGCGGAUCAGCAUGUCGCGGUGAAUACGUUCCCGGGUCUUGUACACACCGCCCGU
rnacentral:rRNA from 1 species